rnacentral:rRNA from 1 species
AUACGACUGUCGGCAACGGAUAUCUAGGCUCUCGCAUCGAUGAAGAACGUAGCAAAAUGCGAUACUUGGUGUGAAUUGCAGAAUCCCGUGAAUCAUCGAGUUUUUGAACGCAAGUUGCGCCCGAAGCCUUC